GUAGAGAUGGCUCAGUGGUUAAGAGCACUGACUGCUCUUCCAGAGGACCUGAGUUCAAAUCCCAGCAACCACA
rnacentral:tRNA from 1 species